rnacentral:rRNA from 1 species
UACGUAGGGUGCGAGCGUUGUCCGGAAUCAUUGGGCGUAAAGAGCGUGUAGGCGGCCCGAUAAGUCCGCUGUGAAAGUCCAGGGCUCAACCCUGGAAUGCCGGUGGAUACUGUCGGGCUCGAAUCCGGAAGAGGUGAGUGGAAUUCCUGGUGUAGCGGUGAAAUGCGCAGAUAUCAGGAGGAACACCAAUGGCGAAGGCAGCUCACUGGGACGGUGUUGACGCUGAGACGCGAAAGCGUGGGGAGCAAACAGG